UACGGAGGGGGCUAGCGUUGUUCGGAAUUACUGGGCGUAAAGCGCACGUAGGCGGCUUUGUAAGUUAGAGGUGAAAGCCUGGAGCUCAACUCCAGAAUUGCCUUUAAGACUGCAUCGCUUGAAUCAUGGAGAGGCGGGUGGAAUUCCGAGUGUAGAGGUGAAAUUCGUAGAUAUUCGGAAGAACACCAGUGGCGAAGGCGGCCCGCUGGACAUGUAUUGACGCUGAG
rnacentral:rRNA from 1 species